rnacentral:rRNA from 1 species
UACGUAGGGGACAAGCGUUGUCCGGAAUUACUGGGCGUAAAGCGCGUGUAGGCGGCUAUGCAAGUCGGGCGUGAAAUCCCACGGCUCAACCGUGGAAGUGCACUCGAAACUGCGUAGCUAGAGUCUCGGAGAGGAAGGUGGAAUACUUGGUGUAGAGGUGAAAUUCGUAGAUAUCAAGUGGAACACCGGUGGCGAAGGCGGCCUUCUGGACGAUGACUGACGCUGAGACGCGAAAGCGUGGGGAGCAAACAGG